rnacentral:lncRNA from 1 species
UUUGUUCGAACAUACUACAGUCUUGUUUUCUCUGCCGUGUCUUCUCCUUUUCUUAAUAGUGUCACUGCCUUUGAUUUAUCUGCUCAGAUGUGCUAUUUAGAGUUUGAUCUGGAUAUAUACUAGCUAUUUUAUUAGGAGUUGGUGGUAAAGAUGAACUAAUGGUUGAUCCGCCCUGCUGUCCAUGCUGCACUUCAUGCAAAAUCAUUGGGUCGGUACUGGGAGUACUUCAUUUAUGAUAGAUCUUAUGCUUCAAAGCUUCUUUUUAUUGUCUAAUAUGUUUUAUUUGCACUAAUUUGGUAAAUUUAUUUUAUCUUUUGGCUUAAUAUGUCCCAGGUAUUGAUAUAGUAAUAUUUUUUUACUUGGUUAAUGGCCAAACAUACUGCUUCAGUAUCUUCCGGUAGGUGCCUCAGAAUUAUGCAGUUGAUCAUACCAUACUGCUACUUGAAUAAAAAUGUCUAUCUUUGUGUUCUACACUGAAGCUAUCAUAUGAAGUUUAAUUAUUUUCAGCGUCCAUCACCAAAACUACUUUGUUUGUAGUGAAAGGCUUCAUAGAAUUUCAUAGAUGUUGCACAUCAUGAGAUUAACCUGUAGAUGUAUUCAUAACCAUAUAGUAGAGGGGAAGAUGCAAACACGACAUGUCUUGGCCUCUCAACCUUUUCUGUUAUAUGUCACGUUUCUAUUAAUUAUUUUGCUUGACAUGAUUCUUUCAAUGGUAACUUUGAUUUUCUCUAACAGGUAGGAACAAAAGUAUUUUUAAUGAGCCUAAAAAAUCGUAACACAUGUAGCUCUUGCUACAGUUGUAAGUUGUGAUCCUAAAUUUGAACUUGAUGGUGCUGAAAUUACUAAUGAAUUCUGGGUAGUGCAUGUUGAUAUGGCACUUGUGAGAACUGAAGAUUCGGUACGGAGUCGCAAAAACUGCAAUACUCUUGGUAAUGCAGAUUUGUUUUUGCAUCUCAACCUUUGUAAGUGAGUAAUAUCCUCCCUCUAUGACUACUUGCAUCAUGUCAAUGCAUUGUGUGUUAACAGUUCAUUUUGUUUUUUUGUUUGUAGAUUCAAAAGAUAAAUGGAUGAUUCUAUUGGUGUGUGUGGCAAGUAUACUACAAGGAUGAUGAUGAUGAUGUUCCUGUUCAUGAUGAUGAAGACGGAUGGUUUCAGUUUUAAUUAAGUUGUAGGGAUGAUGUUCCUCGAUUGUGUUUUAGUUACGUUGUAGGGAUGUUUAUGGAUGCUUUCAAUUUAAGUUUCGCCGUCAAGAAACAUUUAGAUUAUACUUCCCAUUUGGAUGAUUUUUCUUGUGUAAUAUGCAGUAUUGUAAUCCAACAGUUUUAUUUAAUAUAUGAUUUCUUCCUCCCGUGAGUAUAUUCUCUUGUUUGUCUUUACUGGAAAUUCAUAAUUAUCACCAUUAUGUAAAGCAC